AUGUGCUUGUUACGCUCCCUGGGCUCUCGUUGGCUAGAGCAAAGGACAAACUUGCCCUUGGGUUGGAUAGCUGGCAUAACCAAGAGACACCCAGGGCUGUGGCAGGGAGAAGAGACGACUUGUACUGCUGGUGAUGGUGGUGGGGAAAGUAACACAAUUCAAAGAAAAGCACUUCUCCCCACCUUGCUCUUCUCCCAGGAAAAAUACUGUGUGCACAGACCAGCCAGCAGAGAUCUGGGACAGGAGAGGGGAAGGACAGAUGCUAUGGAGACCCCUCCGGGCUGCCAAACACACACAAACAAGACUAUGAGGGCGGCGAGGCGGACACCAAAAGUACCUCCAUGGCUUCUGGGAACACAUUGUGUGSGGACAUGUGUUAGCAAUUUCUUCCAAAAAAGGGGGGGGGAGGGGGGUGACGACGGAGAGGAACGGGGCAGAAAGCAGUGGAAGGAAAAGAGAAGGUAUGAGCACCCCGGGCACCCGCAGCACUCCAGCACCAGGGGCCGAGGCGAGGCCGGUGGGGCCCGGCCCUGCCCGGCCCUGCGGCGGGGGGCAGCGGCGGGCGGCGCCGCCUAUGGCGCGACGGGCGCUACUACAAGAGCGGCGGCGGGGGCGGGCGGCCCGGCCGAGGCGAGGCGAGGCGGGGCGAGGGCGCCAUGGCGGAGGGGCGGAGCGCCACGCGCAAGGUGCUGCAGCUGCAAGCGCGUCUCGGCCGCGCGCAGGAGCCCCGAGAGGUACCGGGCGGCGGCCGCCCCCGAGGGCACGGCGGCGGGGAGGGCGGCCCCCCGUGCUCCGGCUCCGCCUCGAGCGGCGGGCCGGCCCAGCGCCGCGGUGCUGCUGCGCGGCCGCGCUGGGCACGGGAGGCGUUGCUCCCCCUCAGGGGCGGCGCGCGCUCGUGGCGCCGCAGCGUGCGCCGGGAGGCCGUUAACAGCUGUGGUGUGCGCUGCGCGCGGCCUCGCUCCUGCCCCUGGCCCUGCGCGGCGUGCGGCGCGCUGGAGAAGUCAGGCUGGCCUGGAGUGCGCCCUCCUUUGUAGUGUUUGGCAUCCCCGCUUCAUGGCUGUGUGGAUUAUAUGUGUAUAUACAUACCCCCCCACACACAUACCCCCACAGCAAAUGUUGAGUGAGGUAUGGGUAGAGUUUGGUGGGAGGGUUUUUGGAGGGUGGGAGUGUGUGGGGGUGCUCACCUAG
rnacentral:lncRNA from 1 species